UGGCUUCUUAUAAAAGGCAGGCAUCGUCCUGGGGGUCCCAGGCUUCCAUUCAGCCGGGAUCUCAGAAGCGCUGGUGAUGUGCCUGGCACUGUGCUGGAGAGAGACUUCCAUUCAUUCUUCCCUUUCGACUUAAAUGGGCACCUAUUAUGCUCCUGCCCUUGUGUUGGGUUCAGAGAAUCCAGUGGGGCAGAAUAUGAGAACGUGUUCCUGCUCUCCUGAGCUUGCAUUCUAGGUGGAGGAGAUAGUCAUGAUGGAGAAAACACAUGAACAAGCCGUUGCUAUAUCCAGUGGUGAUAAAUGUCAGGAAGAAAAUAUAACAGGGUGGAUGUCCUAAGAAGGGAAGAGUAGAGCUUCUGAGAUCAGGGCCCUGGGGAAUGCCCGUUGUGAGAUGUGGAAGAGGGGAGGGGUCUGCAUGGUGAGGGGUGAGAAGAAGGGUGGCACAAGCCCCAUCAGCCACAGGACUCCUGAGAUCUACCAGGUGCUCAGGAGGCUCUGAAACCCAAAAGGAAGCCACCCCAGGGCUCCCUGGCCUGAGCUCACAGGCCAGUGCUGGCUGUCCUGAAAGACCCCCCCCCCCUUCCUGUGCAGGCCCUGCUCUCCCUGUCCUCUGGACAAGUCAGCUAGAGAAACGUUAAUAUGAGCACCGAGGGCAUGAAACAAUGAAGCUUGUGGAGUUGGAUCACUUGUCCAGAUCACAAAGCCAGUAGAUGACCUACAGAGUGCGCACUCAGAUGACGUCAGCUCAUGUCCCGUGCCUCUCCCUCCUCUGAAAAGACGAUGGAAAGAGAAACCAUCUGGGGCUGGGGAAUCAGGGGAGCUUGGUGGGACUGGGUCUGCAGGCCUGGUGAAGAGUGUGCAAGAAGAACACGGUGGGGAGAGCUUCCAGAACCCCAAGGAAGGAAGAGAGAAGGAUAGGAAGAGAACAGCCCCAGGCUUCUGAAAGGCAGUUUCCAAAGGUCAGCAGGACUGGCAGGAAAGGGUCCUGAGAGCAUUCCAACAGAGACACCUGGAGCCUGACCACCUGUGCAAUGCCAAAAUAAGCACCCUUGCCUGUCCAUCUCCCUCACCCCCAGGUGCUGUGAUCUCCAGGGAUCAAGGCACUACAGAAUCCAGCCCUUAGCUCAUGGGGUCAUUCCAGCAUCUAUUGUAGGAAUGGAAACCCCAUCUCUCAAGGCUUCUGGAGUGCAUGGCUCACAAAGCCCCACAAAAGAGAGUGGCCAUGUACCUCCAGGGCUCCAGGCAGCUCCUUCUGGAUGGUACAGUCACUACGUGAUGCUGCCCUGCAGGCAAGUCCAGAACCCUCGUGAUCUCCAGGAGCUUCUGGCAAAGCCACAGAGCUGUCUCUGAGGAGCUGGCCUCUGUCUCCCAGACAUCCAAAAGACCUUGUCCUGCUGCCUGAAAACCACUUAAACCUUCUCAGCCCCUUCUGCAGCCCCUGUGCUUGCUCUGAACCUCCAGUGCAUCCCUUCUCCUGAGGAACCAUCUUCACAAAGCGAGACCGACCAGGAGCCUGGAGAUGCCAUCCUUGAGGAGGUGAGCCUAGUACAUGACGGAAGAGCAUCUGAGGCAGGCAAGGGGUGGACUUUGGUAGACACUGGGCCACACAGAGACCUCCUCCUACUCCUUCAGGGAGGAUAGAGGGCUGACAGCUCACAGCUGGGCCCCACCACGGCUUUGCCCUUGACCUAGGGAAGCCAACCUGCCUGAAGUUCUGCCCCCUCCCCGGGAUGUCCCUGCCCGAUGGCGGGAUGGCUCACGGAUACACCGCCUGCCUCAGCGGUUAUCAAAAGUAACUUUUGCUGAACUUUAAAAGUUGAAAAACAAAGAAUAUCACCAAGAAAAAAAAUACAUGCUUCAUAUCAUCUGGCCAGGUAAAGGAAAUCAUGUUUUAGUAGUAUGACAUACUUCUUUCUAGGCCUUUGGAUAGCGAAACAAAUCAAAAUAACUCACAAGUAUGUUUGUAGUUUAGACUACACUGUCCAGUCACACAUUACUGAAUGAUGGUAAAGGCUCUGAGAAACUCAUGUUAGCCAGCGACAGAGGACAAAUGCACACACCUAGAUGGUGUAGGUCAACCACUCAAUGUGACCUCUGGAGCUCUGUCUGCGCUUGCUGCUGCCAUGACAGCACACAAUUCUAGAACAUUUCUGAUAAGUUGAGGAAUACAUUCUCAAAUAAUGAUAUAAAGGACAGCAUGGCAAGUGCAUGGCCAUUUGUUACCAUCGUCAAGUGUCAUGUACUGAGCUGUAUGUGCAGGACUUCUGCAGGACUGGUAGCACAGUGGGUUCACACCAACCCCUCCACAGACAGGAGGAGCAGACUGCUACAGUGUGGGGCACAGCUGCUGUCCCUGGGUGAGAGUAUGAUCACUGAUGGGACCAAAGUCAUGUAUUCAGGUCGUCACUGACUACACUUCACUCUGUGGCACAGGGCAGGCUACUCAGUUCCGAGACCUCCUUUUGUCCUUAUUGCUCUAUUUUCUGCCUGGGUGAACACCCUCCAGUGAAGCUCCGCAGAGGAUGAGCAGCCACAGGGUGAAGAGGGCAUCUGCUCUUUGCUUACAGAGCUCACCCCGAAGGCACAAGGGCACAGUCCUGCUCUGGGUGUCACCGUCUGGACACCUUAAGUUCCAGAAUUUCAACAUAUCAUGAUAUUUUCUUAUUAUUGCUCUGCCCACCUUCUCCAAAACAUUUCUGUUUUUAUUUGUUAUCAUUAAAACCAAAGCCACACUCUAUGUGAAAGAAAGCAAAGUAAACAAACAAACAAACAAACACACUUUGUAACCUCAUGUAGCCUGGUCCUGGUUGAGGGAAGAGCUGGGGGUGGGUAGAGUUAGCCCCUUAUACAGCAAAGAAGCAUACACAGGAAACAAGGACACAGACUUGAACCCCCUCCUCUCAUUCCACCACUCACGUUCUCCCUUCUCCCUAACUCAGGGUUCCCAGCUACUCUCUUCACCCUGCCCAUGCUCACCUCCACAGAGUUCCACUGAAAAAGUAUUUACACAUGUGCAAAAUUAAGCAAUAUGGGAAAAGAGUAGCCUCCAAGCGGAAUAAACAGUUCUGGGCCUCAGAGUGAAGUUUUGGUCAAGGAUGGACUGAUUUCACUCAGAGUUGUGAAAUCAGUUUAAUGAGUCAUGAUCAGCAUUGUAAAAAAAUAAACCAGAUAGGAGAAAAAAGAACAAAAGCUAACAAAGUGUGCCGACAAGAAAGGUAAGUGCUGCUUCAUGAAGCCUCUGUUUCAGCUGCAUGCGUGAGCACGUGCCGCACACCAUAAUGCAAGAUCUGCUCUCACUAUGUGGCGUAAAGGCUGCCGACAUCCUCCCCCAUAGCCUGAACAACAGUUGAAAACCACCACUUUUCAAAAGUUCAGGCUGUCGAAGAUGUCCAUCAUCUGUUCCCAGAUCCUCCACUUUCCAGCUCCAACACACACACACACACACACACACACACACACUCUCACCACCUCCACCAACAACACCAUCACUACCUCUACCACUUACCUCUGUCCCUGUCUUCCUUCCUAUCUGUAGUUUUAAAAAGAAAAAAAAAUAUAGGGGAAUAUGUCUAAUGAUCGAGUAAAUGAUAGCAAAAAUAUCAGAUACCAAAUGGUUUUAAUGGCACUGAUGAUGGUUCUCUAGGUGAUUUUAAUUGUGCUCUUCACUUGUUCAGCAACGAUCAAAACUUUCCAACAGAUGAAAGCUUGAAAUCCAGUCAGACAGACCUGGGCUCAAGUAUAGAAACAGUUCUGCUACAUCUGUAAAUAAACAGUAUUCUAUGCUUUAUGCUUUUUAGAAAAUGUGGGUGUUUUUAAUGUCAGAUCAUGUGCUUCUGCAAUGACCACACGUGACACUUUGGGCUCUGCAUGAUCGCCCUGAGAGUGUCACCAUCUGCACUCCCCCUUGCUUCUCCUGGAUGAACAACGGGGACUCAACUUUCUCAUCUUCCCUUCUUGAUAGUGCAAGAGUAACCAUCCUCUGAUUUCCUAAUGUAUGCUGACCUUAGGAAAUACUCCCCAAGGCUUAUGCAAAUGAUGUGAAUGCCAUCAUGACUCUUGGUAUGUGUUGCCAAAUUGCCUCUGAAAAGGAUUGUGAAAAUAUAUAGUCAGCAAUAAAGUAUGGGGACAUCACAGCACCAUUAGCAUUGGGUAUUUUCAUUAGACUCUAUUUAGUGACUUAAGAAAAAUAAAACAAAACCAAAAAGCGUUAUGAUUCUAGUUUACAAGUGAAAUUGAAAUUGUUGUUAUUAAAGCAAUUGUAUUGCUCCCUUUGUAAAUUAUCUGAUUAUAUCUUGUUUUUAAUAUAAUUAUCCACUCUGUGUAUAUUCUGAAAUUUAUGGCCACAUGUAAUACAGCUUAAAUCUUUAACCUUCAUCUGCUGCUCCCUUUCCAACUUCCAAUUUUGUUUGAGUUAUUCAGUAAUUAGCAUGUUCAGAGGAUUGUUCGUCUCAGCACCUACCUUCCUUUCCCCCAUCCAGUAAUAAAAACACUCAUCACUAACAGUAGCAAUUUCAUUGUUUUGAAUUUCUGUAUAGAACACUAUUUUUAUGUUUUUACUCCUGAAUGCCAAAAGCCUUUAAGGCUAUUUUUUCUGAUUUUAUUUUUAUGUAUCCUAUAUAAUUCUAUUAAGAUGUUCUUCAUGAUUCUAUACAUGCAUAUACAUACUUAGAAAGCAUUUUUGGUCCCUAAGUUGUCAAGAUAUUUAAAAUACAUUUUUUUUUCUAUUUUUAUUGUAUUACCAUCAGAUAAUAUUCUAACACCACAUGUUAACGAUGUUAUAACGUUCUUGUUUGAUUUUUGUGUGACUACAUGGCCUUCUUCAAAUGUGUUUCACAUAUUGUCAAGAAAAUAUUUUCUUAUUUUUGAGAAUAAGUCUAAUAUAAAUUUUAAUAUAUAUUCAUGGGUAAAAAAUUGUGACAUAUUAAUAUGUCCAUAUCAUAGAGUUAGUCUUAGAAAUAAAAAGGAGUUGUUAAUACAUGUAUUAAAUGCAUGAACUUGAAAAUAAUUAUUCGUAGGGAAAAACCUAGAUAAAAGUGAGGGCAUGAUGUGAUGCCACUCUAUAAAAUUCUGGAAAAUGCAAGUAAAUAUAUAGUGACAGAAAUCAAUCAAUCAUUGUUUGGGAAUGGGGAGAGACAGAGGGGCAGGACAUAAAGGUCAUCCAAUAUCAUGAGAAAAUGUUUUGGGAGUGGUGAAUAUGUUUGAUACCCUGAUUACAGUGCUAGUUUCAAAUUGUAUACUUAAAAUCUGUUCAGUUUAUUGUGUGUAGGUUAUCUUAACAAAGCUAUUAUAAAAAUAAAUUUCAUCUGUUUCUUCGUA